UCGAAGUAUCGUACUUUCUACCGUGCCUCUUGGCAAUUCUUGAACUUUUUGAAUUUUUUUGUAUAGAUUAAACACGCUCCACGUACAUAAAAAAUACUCUAAAAACUCAAAAUUAGUGUUAAAAAUCCCUUCCAACCAAUUUUGAAAUAUCGGCACGGCGGUGUCACCAUGCUCCGGUGACGGCACCAUCGCCCACAGUGGUGGUUUGCCUCAGCCUGGCCAUUUUCGGUCGGUUUUGGCCAAUUUUACACAUAUUCCUGCGAAAAACACGUUAGGGAGCCUCGGUUGGCCGAAAACUAAUGAGGAAACCGAAACCUACUGGUGGUGAAGUUUCUGGUGCGACGACUCCUCUAGCUCUCCUUCGCAGCUGGGAUUCCUCCUUCGGUCAAGUUGCUGAAAACAGAACGGUGAAC
rnacentral:lncRNA from 1 species